GUGGGGAAUAUUGGACAAUGGGCGAAAGCCUGAUCCAGCAAUGCCGCGUGUGUGAAGAAGGCCUGCGGGUUGUAAAGCACUUUCAGUGGGGAAGAAAAGUGCAGCGCUAAUAUCGCUGCAUCUUGACGUUACUCACAGAAGAAGCACCGGCUAACUCCGUGCCAGCAGCCGCGGUAAUACGGAGGGUGCGAGCGUUAAUCGGAAUUACUGGGCGUAAAGCGCACGUAGGCGGUCAGGCAAGUCGGGUGUGAAAGCCCUGGGCUCAACCUGGGAAUUGCAUUCGAAACUAUCUGACUCGAGUAUGGGAGAGGGAAGCGGAAUUUCCGGUGUAGCGGUGAAAUGCGUAGAUAUCGGAAGGAACACCAGUGGCGAAGGCGGCUUCCUGGACUAAUACUGACGCUGAGGUGCGAAAGCGUGGGGAGCAAACAGGAUUAGAAACCCCAGUAGUCC
rnacentral:rRNA from 1 species